UGGCGGCCAUGUUUUUUGAUGAAAUGGGAAUUAAAACACAAACUUUAUUCUAGAUACCCUAGGAAUCAAUCAGAUGAAGUUUGGUUUGAAUUGGUUCAGUAGUUUCAGAGAAGAUCUUUGAAAUAGUUUACGACGACGACGACGACGGACGGACGACGACGACGACGGACGACGACGGACGCCAAGUGAUGGUAAAAGCUCACAUUUCCUUUUGGAAAA
rnacentral:lncRNA from 1 species